rnacentral:rRNA from 1 species
CCCUUAGAUGUUCUGGGCCGCACGCGCGCUACACUGAUGCAUUCAACGAGUCUAAAACCUGCUCUGAUAGGGGUGGGUAAUCUUUUGAAUGUGCAUCGUGAUUGGGAUAGAUGAUUGCAAUUUUUCAUCUUCAACGAGGAAUGCCUAGUAAACGCAAGUCAUCCGCUUGCAUUGAUUACGUCCCUGCCCUUUGUACACACCGCCCGUCGCUCCUACCGAUUGAAUGAUCCGAUGAAUAUCAUGGAUUGAGGAUUAUAGCAGGUUCGCCUGUCUUGAUCUUCGAGAAGUGAAGUAAAUCUUAUCAUUUAGAGGAAGGAGAAGUCGUAACA